UAUUGUGAGUAUUACUGAGAACAAGAUC
rnacentral:sRNA from 1 species